GACAGGAGGAGAGGAGAGGAGUGACAUGAGUAACAUGAACGACGGCUUGAUGCAGCACACCAGCACGUCACACGUUGAAUCGUUGAUCAUAGGGCCACAAGUACUGUCGAUGGAGGCAGGCCCUCUCUAAGGAUGUGGAUACUUCUAAAAGCAAAUUAAGUGCAACUUGAGCAACAAACGAAAAUCCAUCUUGCUCCUAAUUAAACAGCUCAAACACUUCCUAAUUGCUGCAAUUGCCGUU
rnacentral:lncRNA from 1 species